CUACGGGACGCAGCAGUGGGGAAUUUUGCGCAAUGGGCGAAAGCCUGACGCAGCAGCGCCGCGUGAGGGAUGAAGGUUCUCGGAUCGUAAACCUCUUUCAGACGGGAAGAACACAAUGACGGUACCGUCAGAAGAAGCCCCGGCUAACUCCGUGCCAGCAGCCGCGGUAAUACGGAGGGGGCAAGCGUUGUUCGGAAUCAUUGGGCGUAAAGCGUAUGUAGGCGGCCAGAUAAGUCAGACGUGUAAGCCCACGGCUCAACCGUGGAAUUGCGUUUGAAACUGUCUGGCUUGAGUACGGGAGAGGAAAGCGGAAUUCCCAGUGUAGCGGUGAAAUGCAUUGAUAUUGGGAAGAACAUCGGUGGCGAAGGCGGCUUUCUGGCCCGAUACUGACGCUGAGAUACGAAAGCCAGGGGAGCAAACGGGAUUAGAUACCCCCGUAGUC
rnacentral:rRNA from 1 species